rnacentral:rRNA from 1 species
CCUACGGGGGGCUGCAGUCGAGAAUCAUUCACAAUGGGGGAAACCCUGAUGGUGCGACGCCGCGUGGGGGAAUGAAGGUCUUCGGAUUGUAAACCCCUGUCAUGUGGGAGCAAAUUAAAAAGAUAGUACCACAAGAGGAAGAGACGGCUAACUCUGUGCCAGCAGCCGCGGUAAUACAGAGGUCUCAAGCGUUGUUCGGAAUCACUGGGCGUAAGGCGUGCGUAGGCUGUUUCGUAAGUCGUGUGUGAAAGGCGCGGGCUCAACCCGCGGACGGCACAUGAUACUGCGAGACUAGAGUAAUGGAGGGGGAACCGGAAUUCUCGGUGUAGCAGUGAAAUGCGUAGAUAUCGAGAGGAACACUCGUGGCGAAGGCGGGUUCCUGGACAUUAACUGACGCUGAGGCACGAAGGCCCGGGGAGCGAAAGGGAUUAGAUACCCGAGUAGUC